AGGCUGGGCCCCUCAUAGCUAACGAUGACCUAUGGGGGGGAUGCUGCUGGCAAAAAUAAGCAAGAGGCUGGUGAGGCUUAGUAGGGAGGAAUUUGUUAUGUCGAAGAAGAGGGAGCCUGCCCAUCUGGAGAAAUAUUCAGAACCUUCCUCAGGAAGAUUUCAGCAUCUCAGAGUCCAGGACAAGGAAGAUAAGAAAAGGAGGGAGGAGCAGCAGCCAGCCUGGUCCUGUCUGGCACCCAUGAACCACCGUCCAGAGCCUUCUUUGCGAAGCACUCACCUGGUUAGUGGAGGAGCAAGGGCUGACACGGACAAGGCUAAGGACUGAGGAGUCUGGUGCUGGAGGCCUUUUAUCCUGGGUCUGGUGUCUCCCUGGGAGCGAGCACAUCCUGUGUAUGCAGAACAAUCACUUUCAUUGCCUUAGAGGAGGAUGAACUCUUCUCACACUCCCAGCCCCAGUGCCCCAGGAUUUCCCUGGACAGGAGCCAAGAGGAAUCCUGGAAGCUACAGACUACUCCAUACACGCUCCAUAGAUCUGCUGCAAGCCAGCCAUUCCACCUUCAUACAGUCAGUCA
rnacentral:lncRNA from 1 species